rnacentral:rRNA from 1 species
CUACCGGGGUAUCUAAUCCUGUUCGCUACCCACGCUUUCGCUCCUCAGCGUCAGUUACUACCCAGAGACCCGCCUUCGCCACCGGUGUUCCUCCUGAUAUCUGCGCAUUUCACCGCUACACCAGGAAUUCCAGUCUCCCCUGUAGUACUCAAGUCUGCCCGUAUCGCCCGCACGUCCGAUGUUAAGCAUCGGGUUUUCACGAACGACGCGACAAACCGCCUACGAGCUCUUUACGCCCAGUAAUUCCGGACAACGCUCGCACCCUACGUAUUACCGCGGCUGCUGGCAC